rnacentral:tRNA from 2 species
GCCCCUAUAGCUCAGCUGGUAGAGCAGCAGUUUUGUAAACUGACGGUCGGCGGUUCGAGUCCGUCUGGGGGCA